GUGAGGGAUAUUGGUCAAUGGGGGAAACCCUGAACCAGCAACGCCGCGUGAGGGAAGACGGUCUUCGGAUUGUAAACCUUUGUCCUCUGUGAAGAUAAUGACGGUAGCAGAGGAGGAAGCUCCGGCUAACUACGUGCCAGCAGCCGCGGUAAUACGUAGGGAGCGAGCGUUGUCCGGAUUUACUGGGUGUAAAGGGUGCGUAGGCGGCUCGGCAAGUCAGAAGUGAAAUCCAUGGGCUUAACCCAUGAACUGCUUUUGAAACUGUCGAACUUGAGUGGAGCAGAGGCAGGCGGAAUUCCCGGUGUAGCGGUGAAAUGCGUAGAGAUCGGGAGGAACACCAGUGGCGAAGGCGGCCUGCUGGGCUCUAACUGACGCUGAAGCACGAAAGCGUGGGUAGCAAACAGG
rnacentral:rRNA from 1 species